rnacentral:rRNA from 1 species
GACGAACGCUGGCGGCGUGCUUAACACAUGCAAGUCGAACGGAAAGGCCCUGCUUUUGUGGGGUGCUCGAGUGGCGAACGGGUGAGUAACACGUGAGUAACCUGCCCUUGACUUUGGGAUAACUUCAGGAAACUGGGGCUAAUACCGGAUAGGAGCUCCUGCUGCAUGGUGGGGGUUGGAAAGUUUCGGCGGUUGGGGAUGGACUCGCGGCUUAUCAGCUUGUUGGUGGGGUAGUGGCUUACCAAGGCUUUGACGGGUAGCCGGCCUGAGAGGGUGACCGGCCACAUUGGGACUGAGAUACGGCCCAGACGCAUACGGGAGGCAGCAGUGGGGAAUAUUGCACAAUGGGCGGAAGCCUGAUGGAGCAACGCCGCGUGCGGGAUGACGGCCUUCGGGUUGUAAACCGCUUUCGCCUGUGACGAAGCGUGAGUGACGGUAAUGGGGAAAGAAGCACCGGCAAACUACGU